rnacentral:tRNA from 1 species
UAGCUCAGUUGGUUAGAGCGUGAUGUUGAUAACACCAAGGUCACGGGUUUGAUCCCCUU